UCAGGUGGUUAUAACGUUGGGGAUCCACCUCUUCCCAUUCCGAACAGAGAAGUUAAGCCCAACGGUGCCGAUGGUACUGCGUCACAGUGGGAGAGUAGGACGCCGCCG
rnacentral:rRNA from 3 species